GUCGAGCGCAUGACGAGGAGCUUGCUCCUCUGAUUGAGCGGCGGACGGGUGAGUAAAGUGGGCAACCUGCCCUGUAGACGGGGAUAACUUCGGGAAACCGGAGCUAAUACCGGAUAAUCCUCUUCCCCACAUGGGGAAGAGUUGAAAGGCGCUUUUGCGUCACUACAGGAUGGGCCCGCGGUGCAUUAGCUAGUUGGUGGGGUAACGGCCUACCAAGGCGACGAUGCAUAGCCGACCUGAGAGGGUGAUCGGCCACAUUGGGACUGAGACACGGCCCAAACUCCUACGGGAGGCAGCAGUAGGGAAUCUUCCACAAUGGACGAAAGUCUGAUGGAGCAACGCCGCGUGAGUGAUGAAGGUUUUCGGAUCGUAAAACUCUGUUGUAAGGGAAGUACCAGUACGUCAGGCAAUGGACGUACCUUGACGGUACCUUAUUAGAAAGCCACGGCUAACUACGUGCCAGCAGCCGCGGUAAUACGUAGGUGGCAAGCGUUGUCCGGAAUUAUU
rnacentral:rRNA from 1 species